AUGUUUUGUUUGUACAUUUAUUGUUAUGGAGCAUACUCGUUUAACUUUAUUAAAAGACUCCAUAUUUAAACUCCAAUUGACUCUCCUGCGCCUGACUUCCCUGCCACCUAUUACACCUAUGCGUGACACCCCCCUUCCACAUUCCUCUUCAUUUUUGAAGUAAUGCUGCAAUUUGUUGGUUGUAAUUUUGGGUAGAGCAGAAAUGUCCAUAUAUUUUUGUUAGCUGCAUGUGUGACAUAACUCCACCAGUCCUAUUCAUUUACGAAGAUUAAUUUUUAUUUUUAUUAUUACUUUUUUGUUUUUAAUCUAGUAUAUUUGAGUUUAACAACAAUAUUUGUUGUAUUAUUUGUUCUGUUUGGUGGUGCCACCAUGGGGCAGUCUGUUUACAACAUUGACAUCAGCAAACCUCUCAACCACAAGACGCCAUACACGCUGUCUGCCAUCUAGCCAGUACAGUUGACACCGGGAUUCAUCUAUGAAGAGCACACUUCUCCAGCAUGCCUUUGGCAAUCGCAGAUGCCUUUUCUCCACAAGUACAGCUUCACCACCCGGACCUGGGUGAAGCUAGCCGUGCUACCCAGCUCCAACCCUCCACCCCACAGGAUCUACCACUGCUGUGCUGGCCUAGGCCCCAGCUACCAGCCUGUCAUGACCACCACCACCACCACCAGCACCACCCUGACCCCCAGCAUCACCAUCAGAAACAGUCUGGACAGCAAUCUACAGUCAUUCAAAAACAAAUGCUUCCCUUCCUCCUCAGAGUUAGAGGGCACUAUAGAGCUGGAGACGUUAAGUAGCUCAGAGAAGCUAUUGACUGAACUGGGGGACUAUUGUAAUGGUCUAAGUGGGAACUAUGCUGAGCGCUUUGGGAACUGUCUGACUUUUUUAAAUAAUUGUUAUACUUUUUUCAUCAAACCCACAACCGUGGCGCUGCAAGUGUAAUAUAUAAUUCAAUAUUCACUAUUAGCAAUUACUGAUUUUAUUUUCAAUACAAUUCAACAAUAAAUUAUUGUAUUUCUGUUUUGCUA